CUACCAUUAACCCAUUAAUUACAAUAGAUUAAUUCAAUUUAAUUUACAGAGAACUGUCUCCACUAACCCACCUCCACCAUUCAGCACAUAAUAUCACACCACGUAUGUGUACAUCAAAUUCUCGAUUUUAAUGAAAAAUCCCCAAUAUCCGAAAUCCUUUUCCUCAAACUCUCUUAUCUCCAUAACCGUCCAUCGCCUUUCCAUUACUCACCAAACUCAAUAUCAAAGACUCGGCCACUGUUCCUUCGCUCACCAGACUCGGUCACCAACCGCCGGCCUAGCGCCGCCGCCUCAGACCAACGUCGCCCAAAACGAUUUCAUAACCGCUCCUCAUCGUUCCAUCGCUCACCAAACUCAAUCGAAGACUCGACUGCCAUUUCUCGAUCGUCAAUCGCCGCCCUAGCGUCAUCGCCUCAAACCAGUGUCGCCCAAAACGAACUCCUGGACCGAUGCAGCCCUCCACGUGCGGCGGAUUCACCGUUUGGAAGGGUGUUGCGGUUGUGUAUUUCUCUGCACCAGCGGCACCUAUGGUUCGAAGGUACCUGAAUGCGUAUGUUCAUGGGUUGUCCUUAGAGGCAUUGAGAUUCUGAGUAUCAAUGUCUCGAAAGCCUGCACAAUUUCAACAACAUAUUGCAAUUAGGCAUGCAUAGUGAUAGAGAUACGAUCAUAUGAAAUGAUUAAGGAAUUCUGACCUGACACGAGAUGAGCAACCUGUUGCAGCUCCAUAUGGAAGUAGCAACACAACUGAGAUAAUGGCACCACGAGCACGGAUUGUUUAGAUCCUUUCCACGGACACUGUGUGUAUAAUUACUUUUAUGGUUAGAGAUUUAUUGGUCAUAACAGUCAAGCUCCCUGCAUAUAUUCAUACUUGUAAUUGCUUUACUAUUGUUGAUCUAUAUUACUUGGCUAUUGUUCGCCCUUUUGUAGUUUUAUUGUGAUUAAAACAAAUGAGUGAUGAUAAAUUUCAAUUUUUAAUUAUUUCGUUUUCA